rnacentral:rRNA from 1 species
UACGGAGGGUGCAAGCGUUGCUCGGAAUCACUGGGCGUAAAGCGACCGCAGGCGGCCUGACAAGUCGGAUGUGAAAGCCCUGGGCUCAACUCAGGAACUGCAUUCGAAACUGGUAGGCUCGAGUACGGGAGAGGGGGGUGGAAUUCCUGGUGUAGGGGUGAAAUUCGUUGAUAUCAGGAGGAACACCGGCGGCGAAGGCGGCCCCCUGGCCCGCAACUGACGCUGAGGAGCGAAAGCGUGGGGAGCGAACAGG